AGGACUAACGCUGGCGGCGUGCCUAACACAUGCAAGUCGAACGAACGUAGCAAUACGUUAGUGGCAGACGGGUGAGUAACGCGUAGUCAACCUACCUCUUAGUGGGGGAUAACUAAUCGAAAGGUUAGCUAAUACCGCAUACGAUCGUCGAGUGGCAUCACUUGACGAUGAAAGCAGCAAUGCGCCGAGAGACGGGACUGCGUCCCAUUAGUUAGUUGGUGGGGUAAUGGCCUACCAAGACUCCGAUGGGUAGCUGGCUUGAGAGAGCGACCAGCCACACUGGAACUGAGACACGGUCCAGACUCCUACGGGAGGCAGCAGUGAGGAAUUUUCCGCAAUGGGCGAAAGCCUGACGGAGCGACGUCGCGUGUGGGAAGAAGGCCUUCGGGUCGUAAACCACUGUCGAAGGGGAAGAUAUUGACGGUACCCUUGGAGGAAGCCCCGGCUAACUACGCGCCAGCAGCCGC
rnacentral:rRNA from 1 species